UUAGUUAGGGCAGUAGUAUCAGACUAUCAAUAAUUUUGUUAGGUUUAGUAGUUAGUCCUGUAUUUUUUUAUUUUCCUGAGCACUGAUGAUCUGAACAGAGUACGUAGUUUAGUAGUUCAGUAAUGAAAUACUAGACUAUCGAACUACAUGAUAUUGAAAUAGAGCUCAGUAACUAAAACUACUGAGAAAUUUUAAAAAAAACUACUGAGCUCAAUCAUCUCAUGAAUCAUCUAGAGCCAGCCACUCAACAUAGAUUGAAUAUGCUAAUUACUGAAUCAUCUGCACAAUAUUUGACUGAUAUAUGUGUUCUAGGUUUUCUCGCGGUAUGUUGAAAAUGGAGACAUGUUGAUCACAUCAAGCUAGUAGUUAAGCAAGCAAUGAUGUUGACAACUUGAGGUUUAUGUGGGCAUGGCAUGACUUUCCAACUCUGUCACCUCAUGCACAUGACAGUGAUAGUACUGAACUUCACAAGGGGAGAGGGCUCCAAGUGAAGAGAAAAAUGCUUCAUGUUUUUUCUUGAAGACUUUUUGUAUUUUGGAGGCUGCAUGAGAUAGAUAAUCAUAACUAAUAUGUGUACAUAUGCGUAGUUACCGACCAACUACAUGUAUAUCCUUGGAUUCAGUAAUUCUGGGAACUAGCUGUUCAGUAUUAUGUACUUUUUU